rnacentral:misc_RNA from 1 species
GAUGAAGAACGUAGCGAAAUGCGAUAAUUAAUGUGAAUUGCAGAAUUUAGUGAAUCAUCGAAUCUUUGAACGCACAUUGCGCCCCUUGGUAUUCCAUGGGGCAUGCCUGUUCGAGCGUCAUUUGUACCUUCAAGCUUUGCUUCGUGUUGGGUGUUUGUCUCGCCUUUGCGUGUAGACUCGCCUUAAAAUAAUUGGCAGCCGGCGUAUUGAUUUCGGAGCGCAGUACAUCUCGCGCUUUGCACUCAUAACGACAGCGUCCAAAAGUACAUUUUACACUCUUGACCUCGGAUCAGGUAGGGAUACCCGCUGAACUUAAGCAUAUCAAUAAGCGGAGGA